UACGAAGGGGGCUAGCGUUGCUCGGAAUGACUGGGCGUAAAGGGCGCGUAGGCGGAUGGCACAGUCAGAUGUGAAAUUCCCGGGCUUAACCUGGGGGCUGCAUUUGAUACGUGUUGUCUUGAGUUCGGAAGAGGGUCGUGGAAUUCCCAGUGUAGAGGUGAAAUUCGUAGAUAUCAGGAGGAACACCGGUGGCGAAGGCGGUGGGCUGGGCCGGAACUGACGCUGAGGAGCGAAAGCGUGGGGAGCGAACAGG
rnacentral:rRNA from 1 species